rnacentral:rRNA from 1 species
GCCCCGCAAGGGGAGUGGCAGACGGGUGAGUAACGCGUGGGAACAUACCCUUUCCUGCGGAAUAGCUCCGGGAAACUGGAAUUAAUACCGCAUACGCCCUACGGGGGAAAGAUUUAUCGGGGAAGGAUUGGCCCGCGUUGGAUUAGCUAGUUGGUGGGGUAAAGGCCUACCAAGGCGACGAUCCAUAGCUGGUCUGAGAGGAUGAUCAGCCACAUUGGGACUGAGACACGGCCCAAACUCCUACGGGAGGCAGCAGUGGGGAAUAUUGGACAAUGGGCGCAAGCCUGAUCCAGCCAUGCCGCGUGAGUGAUGAAGGCCUUAGGGUUGUAAAGCUCUUUCACCGAUGAAGAUAAUGACGGUAGUCGGAGAAGAAGCCCCGGCUAACUUCGUGCCAGCAGCCGCGGUAAUACGAAGGGGGCUAGCGUUGUUCGGAAUUACUGGGCGUAAAGCGCACGUAGGCGGAUAUUUAAGUCAGGGGUGAAAUCCCGCAGCUCAACUGCGGAACUGCCUUUGAUACUGGGUAUCUUGAGUAUGGAAGAGGUAAGUGGAAUUCCGAGUGUAGAGGUGAAAUUCGUAGAUAUUCGGAGGAACACCAGUGGCGAAGGCGGCUUACUGGUCC